GCGUGGCUGCCCGGUGCGUCUGGAGCACAAUCCCCGGGGCCUUAUCGAUCCUCAAGGGAGCUGUCCCUGUGCUUGCCCGUGGGCUUGGACACACGGCGCCCACCUACGUUGUAGGUUCCCGGGAUCGAAACCUCCGACGGCCAUGGCGGCCACGCA
rnacentral:sRNA from 1 species